CCUACGGGAGGCAGCAGUGGGGAAUUUUGGACAAUGGGCGCAAGCCUGAUCCAGCCAUGCCGCGUGAGUGAAGAAGGCCUUCGGGUUGUAAAGCUCUUUCGGUGGGGACGAAAAGGUUCGUGCUAAUACCACGGACUAAUGACGGUACCCGAAGAAGAAGCACCGGCUAACUACGUGCCAGCAGCCGCGGUAAUACGUAGGGUGCAGGCGUUAAUCGGAAUUACUGGGCGUAAAGCGUGCGCAGGCGGUUUGUUAAGACAGAUGUGAAAUCCCCGGGCUUAACCUGGGAACUGCGUUUGUAACUGGCAAGCUAGAGUGUGGCAGAGGGGGGUAGAAUUCCAGGUGUAGCAGUGAAAUGCGUAGAUAUCUGGAGGAAUACCGAUGGCGAAGGCAGCCCCCUGGGUUAACACUGACGCUCAUGCACGAAAGCGUGGGGAGCAAACGAGGAUUAGACUACCCGUGGUACGUCCACGCCCUUAAACUAUGUCAACUGGUUGUCGGGGUAGGCGACUCCUUCGUACGUAAGACUACGACGUGUAGUGACGCCGNGGAGGACGGCGACGAACGUAAACGUACGAAGUAAGUAGUAGUUAGCGUGAGAGUAGCGACGGCGACGACGAGGGAGGAGG
rnacentral:rRNA from 1 species